rnacentral:rRNA from 1 species
AUGGUCAAGAUCGAAGAUUGUGAUGGGGAUGGCGCCGCCGACCCGCCGCAGCCCAAUCCGGCUCCGGCACCCACUGCCGUAAAGGCGGAGGAGGCGAUUGAUGAUGGUCAGCCAGGCACUUCAUCCAGCUAUCUAAGGUCACACUUUAUCGGUAUGGGAUUUUCACCAUUACUGGUUGACAAAAUGCUUCAGAAACAUGGUGAUCAUGAUUCUAAUACUAUAUUGGAGUCACUUUUGUCUCAUCAUAAUUCUGGGUCCGAAUCGUCAAGUUCGUUAGGCAGUCUCUUUGAUUCUGACAAUGAAGAAAACAGUUCUAAACAAGACAUCAAGCCGGAGCCAGAUUCUUUCUUAGAAAGGAGGUCAUAUUUACUCCGCACAAUGAACUUCUCACAGACGGAAGUCGAUUUAGCAUUCGACCAAUUAGGUGAGGAUGCACUACUUGAUCAGCUUGUAGAUUUCAUUGUCACUGCUCAAGGAGGAGUAUUAUCGGGAGAUAUGGAAAAUGGCCAUGCUACAAAUGAGGUAAAAGCUGAAUCAUUGUUUGGGGUAAUGGAUAAAACGCUUCAUUUGCUUCAGAUGGGUUUUACUGAGGAAGAAGUGUCAUUGGCUAUUGAUAGCUUCGAUUCAGCUGGUGAGUAUAUCUCCCAUGCGUUGCGAGGAUUUCUUGUUGAGCAGGGUACUCUUACUCAGUUCUCUGGCCCUAAUGCUCAUGCUCAGAAUGGUGUGGCUGAGCGCAAGCAUCGUCAUCUUCUUGAGACGGCGCGUGCAAUGAUGGUCGCCGCCUAUCUUCCGCCUCACUUCUCCUCAAACUCAUGGUGGAUCAACAAGAGUCAGGAAGCAGCAGUUCAGGAGCUUGCUGACUCAAUUUUUGCAAGACGCAUUGCCAGUACCAUUGAGCAGAAACAGGUGAAAAUUGAGUCUGAAUUUCUAGGGGAGCAUGGGGAGCAAGAAACUGAAUAUUCAACAUAUCAUCAGAGGUUGAACUAUUAUGACGAUGACGAUGACAACAAAAGAGUUAAAAAGGCCAAGCAUAUAUUCAGAGACGAUAGAGGAGCCUCAAGUAGUCAUGCUGUGAAUCAACCUACUCCGUGGUUAAGUGGCGGUGUUGGGUCAGCUGGUGAUGGUUAUUUGAAGGAAGAAGAUUAUGAAAUGACAUCGGGCCCUCGUGCAAAUGUCCGUGGUGACCUUGCCAAGCCUCCCUUCUUCCUCUAUGGAAAUGUUGUUAACAUCACCAAAGAUGCGUGGUCUGAAAUAUCGGGUUUCUUGUCGGGUGUGCAGCCCGAGUUUAUAAAUAGUCAGCUUUUCUCAGCUUUGAUGCGAAGGGAAGGUUACCUUCAUAACCUUCCAACAGAGAGAAGGCAUGUUGUGGUUCCGAAGUCACCAAUGACAAUUGAGGAUGCAGUGCCUUCCGCAAGACAUUACUGGCCCACAUGGGAUACCAGAAAACAUAUUGGUAGUGUUACUUCAGAGGUGGCAGGAAUUGAACAACUUUGUGAGAUGUUGGGAAAGACCAUAAAAGAUUCACGAGGAUUUCUUUCAGAAGAAAAACGAGCGCAGAUCUUGCACCAAUGCAAGAUGGCAAAUCUUAUCUGGAUUGGUCAAGACCGGCUAGGCCCUCUGCAGCCAAAUCAAAUGGAGCGGAUAUUAGGUUACCCAUCAAACCAUACAAAUCUGUUUGGUCUAAACCCACCGGACAGGAUUGGUGCUAUGAAAUACGCUUUUCAAACGGACACCAUUGCUUAUCUUUUGUCAGUUCUAAAAGACAUCUAUCCAGAUGGUUUGAGGGUACUAUCCAUCUAUAGUGGAGUUGGGGGUGCAGAAAUUGCGCUGCAUCGUCUCGGUAUUCCACUAAAGUGUGUAGUGUCUGUUGAAGAGUCUGAUGUGAACAGGAAAAUUCUGAAAAGAUGGUGGGCAAAAACAGAGCAGAGCGGAGUUCUGAGACAACUAAAUGGCAUAUGGAAGCUAAAGACCGAUGCACUUGAGGACCUAUUUAAGGAAUUUGGUGGCUUUGACUUAGUUGUUGGCGGAAAUUACAGUUCAUAUAGAGGUGGGACGACAGUAAAUGCAACUAUGGGGAUGGACUCCGGUAAAUACUUUGAGUACGUUCGUGUUCUUCAAAGAGUGAGAAGUAUGCAGCACUUCUUUAAGUAG